AUAUGCCUAAGUUAGAAAAGGCCAAAGGAGUCCAGAGAAUCCUAGCUAGCGUUAGGAUUAGUUUAGACAACUGUCCUUAUCAGAACCAAAUGUAAUUAACUACACAAGAAGAGUGUCUAUACUUGUAUUGGUACUUAAUUUUGAUAUCACAGAGAAUACAUAAAUACUGUUUUCAGCUAAUCAAACAUCAUGUACCUGUCAAUAAAAUAAUUCCAAAUUUGGUCACCUUUGGCAUGUAAAGAUGAGUGAUUUCUCCUAAGACUUCAAAAUACCUGUGAAUAAAUUACUCUAGCCGUUGGUUUUGGAGAAGCCGUCGUCUACGUACGUCUGCUCCUGCUCGUAUGCCGCCACCGACGUGGGGGGCGAGGCGAGCGCCAGCGGCGGUGCCGACUUGGGUGACCUGGGAGGGGAGUUGUGACUGCUGCGGAUUCACGGAGGAUUGCAAGGCCCCAUAUAUCGCUGGCAUGCGGGCGCCGUACGAGAGGAUCGAGGUGGGUCUGCGGGCUCUGCACGGACGCCAUCGACGACGAGCUUGGCUGCACCUCUUCGCCCAUUUCGCCGGCGGAGGCGCUCGACCGCGCGCCGCGCCUUCAUCUGCGGCGUCGGAUGAGUCUCCACCGCGCCACUGUUGGCGGCCAAGAGCGCGGACGGGAUUGAUAUUCGUCGUCUUUCUUCUCUUGCUCCGCCGUAGGCUCGCUGGCCCCGUUACCGGGAGGCGUCGAGAAGGGAUCGAUUGGAAGGGGAAGAUAUGAGGCAUGAGGUCAACCCUUUGGGAUCCAUACCGCCAACCAUCGCUCUACGUCGCGCCUUCCCCAUCACCUCGUCAAUCGGUGACCCCCGUCCCCUUCGCGCUCUCCCCGUCGCCCAUUCAGAUCCCACUCGCGCGCUUCGCCAUCGAUCGCUGAAUCCUCCCCGGCCCGACGACAGGAAGCAUCGCCGCGUCUAGCCCGAAGACCGGCCGUCGACCACUCAACAGCCGGCCCGUGUCUGCAUGCAGCCGUGCACCGAGCCCACGCAGUUCCCAAUUGCCACCACCACAUCUCAGGCCACUUGGACAACAACAUCGAGCGCCACCUCCUCGGUUCACGCAAAAUUCAGGGACAUUACCUCCGCAACGCUAGACAAGCCCCUGUGGUUGCUCAUGAAGAUGGUCUCCUCGUUCGGUGUUUCCCGUCACUCCAUCCCCCGUCUCUCCUAGGCUCCAACGUGCGGUGAAGCACCCUGUGCCCCUGUCCUACCUCACGACAUAGAAACAACGGGUGCUCCACCCCACCGCUCAUCCCUUCCUCCAUGAAUGGCAGCGGAUUACAAGGAUACAGUACAGAGGAUGGAGUUGCCAUGGACAGCGACCAACACGGGAGAGAUGGUAGUGACAAUGGCUGGUGCCCUUGCGCACCAGCGCACGCCUGUGCAGUUGCUGCUGUUUGUCUGCCAAAACGAGUUGAAUGCUCCUGUUGCGCUAGGUAGAGAACGAUCGGAUACAGGGCAUCCAGAGCAGUGGACAGUGGAGGUAAACACAAUAUCUUGGUCAGGGCCGGCUCUACAAUUUUGAGGGCCCUAGGGCAAACUUGACAACAUGAUC